UCAAAUUUGAAAUCUGGCGGCCUCGUCGUCCGAGUUGUAAUUUGAAGAAGGUAUCUUUGGGUCUGGCGCUUGUCUAUGUUCCUUGGAACAGGACGUCACAGAGGGUGAGAAUCCCGUGCGAUGAGCAGUCCAGAUCCGUGUAAAGUUCCUUCGAAGAGUCGAGUUGUUUGGGAAUGCAGCUCUAAGUGGGUGGUAAAUUCCAUCUAAAGCUAAAUAUUGGCGAGAGACCGAUAGCGAACAAGUACAGUGAUGGAAAGAUGAAAAGAACUUUGAAAAGAGAGUGAAAAAGUACGUGAAAUUGUUGAAAGGGAAGGGCUUGCGAUCAGACUUGGUAUUUUGUAUGUCUUGCUUUCGGGCGGGGCCUCUGCAGUUUACUGGGCCAGCAUCGGUUCGGGUGGCAGGACAAUUGCGGAGAAAUGUGGCACGGCUUCGGCUGUGUGUUAUAGUCUCUGUCGAUACUGCCUGCCUG
rnacentral:rRNA from 1 species